GGGGACCCGCACAAGCGUGGAUGAUGUGGAUUAAUUCGAUGCAACGCGAAAACCUUACUACCCUUGACAUGUCCGGAAUCCUGCAGAGAUGCGGGAGUGCCCGAAAGGGAAUCGGAACACAGGUGCUGCAUGGCUGUCGUCAGCUCGUGUCGUGAGAUGUUGGGUUAAGUCCCGCAACGAGCGCAACCCUUAUCAUUAGUUGCUACGCAAGGGCACUCUAAUGAGACUGCCGGUGGCAAACCGGAGGAAGUGGGGAUGACGUCAAGUCCUCAUGGCCCUUAUGGGUAGGGCUUCACACGUCAUACAAUGGUCGGUACAGAGGGUUGCCAAGCCGCGAGGCGGAGCCAAUCCCACAAAGCCGAUCGUAGUCCGGAUUGUUCUCUGCAACUCGAGAGCAUGAAGUCGGAAUCGCUAGUAAUCGCAGGUCAGCAUACUGCGGUGAAUACGUUCCCGGGUCUU
rnacentral:rRNA from 1 species